UGGUUCUCCCCGAAAGCUAUUUAGGUAGCGCCUCGUGAAUUCAUCUCCGGGGGUAGAGCACUGUUUCGGCAAGGGGGUCAUCCCGACUUACCAACCCGAUGCAAACUGCGAAUACCGGAGAAUGUUAUCACGGGAGACACACGGCGGGUGCUAACGUCCGUCGUGAAGAGGGAAACAACCCAGACCGCCAGCUAAGGUCCCAAAGUCAUGGUUAAGUGGGAAACGAUGUGGGAAGGCCCAGACAGCCAGGAUGUUGGCUUAGAAGCAGCCAUCAUUUAAAGAAAGCGUAAUAGCUCACUGGUCGAGUCGGCCUGCGCGGAAGAUGUAACGGGGCUAAACCAUGCACCGAAGCUGCGGCAGCGACGCUGAUGCGUUGUUGGGUAGGGGAGCGUUCUGUAAGCCUG
rnacentral:rRNA from 1 species